rnacentral:tRNA from 1 species
UCCCUGAUGGUCUAGUGGUUAAGACUUUGGUUUCUAAUGAGGAGGUGAGGGUUCAAUCCCUAUCAGGGAA